GACGAACGCUGGCGGCGUGCUUAACACAUGCAAGUCGAACGGUAAGGCCCUGCUUUUGUGGGGUGCUCGAGUGGCGAACGGGUGGGUAACAAGUGAGUAACCUGCCCUUGACUUUGGGAUAACUUCAGGAAACUGGGGCUAAUACCGGAUAGGUGCUCCUGCUGCAUGGUGGGGGUUGGAAAGUUUCGGCGGUUGGGGAUGGACUCGCGGCUUAUCAGCUUGUUGGUGGGGUAGUGGCUUACCAAGGCGUGGAAGGGUAGCCGGCCUGAGAGGGUGACCGGCCACAUUGGGACUGAGAUACGGCCCAGACGCCGACGGGAGGCAGCAGUGGGGAAUAGUGCACAAUGGGCGGAAGCCUGAUGCAGCAACGCCGCGUGCGGGAUAACGGCCUUCGGGUUGUAAACCGCUUUCGCCUGUGACGAAGCGUGAGUGACGGUAAUGGGUAAAGAAGCACCGGCUAACUACGUG
rnacentral:rRNA from 1 species